CUCUUUUGCCUUGAAAUGAGUGUCCAAAAGCACUUUCUUCAUUUACCCAAACACAAUAAAAGAGCUUAAAAGCUACUUUAACUUAAAAAAUACUUAAAAGAAGUCUAUCCAUACAGGCUCUAGGUCAUGUUUGGGAAAGGAAUACACAAACAAUUGCCAUGCUGAAGGGUUUUGAAUAUCCAUUUUCUUCUUUGUAGUAUUUGCAAGAUCAUAGUUAGAUGCAAAUUUAAUAAAUGCCAAAUGAUUUUUGUUCUUCUCUUUCUUUUUUAUUCCCUUCUCACCUCUAUUUCAUUAACUCUGUUGAACCAGAUUGUCUCAGGAAAAUCAUAGUAGGUCAACAAAAGUCAAAGGAUAUUAUGAACGAAGAGCUGAAGUUCAUGAAAAUAGACCAUGAUGGUGGCUUAACUGCAGUGUAGGAAAAGCUUCUGAUGUUUGUAGAAGAGAAACUUCGGAAGAAAAGCUUGACAACUCACAAUAAACUAGAACUCCCUAUCAUGGAAAGUAUCAAGCCUUUGCUAAAGAUUAUUCUAAUCAGGUCAGCUAAGUCUUCUGAUUAUAAGCCUAACACAGAUGGUUGCCUGGCCUUGGUGGAGGAAAUGGAAAUCUGGCGAUCAAUAAUGUGAUGGAGCAAAUCAAGAAUAUAGUAGAAAAGAUUGAAGUCUUGAAAGAGAAAGGAGAAUUUUGUUUUCUGCAUUACUACAGAGAAAGCAAAUACUGUUGCAGAUGCCAUGGCUAACUGGAGUCAAAAGCUACAAAAUAUCCACGUCUUCACAAAUGUUGUCGACCUAUCCUACCCAAGUAGGGUGAGAGCCUCUUUAAAGAUGGAUAGGGAACCAAAUUAUCAACUUUAGAGUCAGGACUAAAAAAAAUUCUUUGAUGUGUAGUUUACUGAUGUCUUUUGAAGUUUAUAUGGAUAGGUUUUAUCAUCUUUUGGUGGUUAAUAUUGGCUCAUUAGUUUGAAUGCUCCUAUUUCUGGAUGA